rnacentral:rRNA from 1 species
AGUGAACGCUGGCGGCGUGCCUAACACAUGCAAGUCGAACGAUGAUGGAGGAGCUUGCUCUUCCUGAUUAGUGGCGCACGGGUGAGUAAUGCAUAGAUAAUGUGCUCCUUAGUUCGGAAUAGCCACUGGAAACGGUGAUUAAUACCGGAUACUCCUUCUUAUCAUAAGAUAAGCCUGCAAAGUUUUUCACUAAGGGAUCAGUCUAUGUUCCAUCAGUUAGUUGGUGAGGUAACGGCUCACCAAGACAAUGACGGAUAUCUGGUUUGAGAGGAUGAUCAGACACACUGGAACUGAGACACGGUCCAGACUCCUACGGGAGGCAGCAGUGAGGAAUAUUGCACAAUGGAGGAAACUCUGAUGCAGCAACGCCGCGUGGAGGAUGACGCAUUUCGGUGUGUAAACUCCUUUUAUUAGGGAAGAUAUGACGGUACCUCAUGAAUAAGCACCGGCUGACUCCGUGCCAGCAGCCGCAGUAAGAC